rnacentral:rRNA from 1 species
UACGGGGGGGGCAAGCGUUGUUCGGAAUUACUGGGCGUAAAGGGCGCGUAGGCGGCUCGCUAAGUUGGAUGUGAAACUUCUGGGCUCAACCCAGAACCUGCAUUCAAAACUGACAAGCUAAAGUACUGAAAAAAAAAGCGGAAUUCCUAGUGUAACGGUGAAAUGCGUAGAUAUCAGGAGGAACACCGGUAGCGAAGACGGCUUUCUGGACAGUAACUGACGCUGAGGCGCGAAAGCUAGGGGAGCAAACAGG